rnacentral:misc_RNA from 1 species
GGAAAAUCCAAAUCAGCAUAACGUGAAACUAUUUAUAGUAUUUAACAAAUGCCAAUUAUGCAGUCACAACGUUAGUAAUGACCGCCGCUAAAUUGCUAAGAAAAAUAAGGAAUUUCUAUGAUCAUCUCUCUUUUUUUUAUUUAUAUACAUGCGUCUACAAAAUCUCAGCCCAGGCCACGGCUGCCUAACUGAUGGGCAGUGCAUGAGGCAGACAGGAGUCUCUUCCAUAGAUUCUAGUCUUGCCCAAUUUCAUUCCAGUUCUUUUAAUGCGUUUUGGACCGUAGCAGAAUGGGCCAAUCCAUCAAAAUUCAAGAGAACAGAUCAACCAGUAGCUCAUCAAGCAUCCGAUUCUCAAUUGCCAAAGCAACCUC